rnacentral:rRNA from 1 species
AUACGUAGGGUGCAAGCGUUAAUCGGAAUUACUGGGCGUAAAGCGUGCGCAGGCGGUUUUGUAAGACAGUGGUGAAAUCCCCGGGCUCAACCUGGGAACUGCCAUGGUGACUGCAAGGCUGGAGUGCGGCAGAGGGGGAUGGAAUUCCGCGUGGAGCCGUGCAAUGCGUAGAUAUGCGGAGGAACACCGAUGGCGAAGGCAAUCCCCUGGGCCUGCACUGACGCUCAUGCACGAAAGCGUGGGGAGCAAACAGGAUUAGAUACCCUGGUAGUCCACGCCCUAAACGAUGUCAACUGGUUGUUGGGGAUUUAUUUUCUCAGUAACGAAGCUAACGCGUGAAGUUGACCGCCUGGGGAGUACGGCCGCAAGGUUAAAACUCAAAGGAAUUGACGGGG